UACGGGGGGGCAAGCGUUGUUCGGAAUUACUGGGCGUAAAGGGCUCGUAGGCGGCCAACUAAGUCGGAUGUGAAAUCCCCAGGCUUAACCUGGGAACUGCAUCCGAUACUGGAUGGCUUGAAUCCGGGAGAGGGAUGCAGAAUUCCAGGUGUGGCGGUGAAAUGCGUAGAUAUCUGGAGGAAUACCGGUGGCGAAGGCGGCAUCCUGGACCGGCAUUGACGCUGAUGAGCGAAAGCCAGGGGAGCAAACAGG
rnacentral:rRNA from 1 species